rnacentral:lncRNA from 1 species
CUCUAGUGGGAGGUGGGGAGCGGCACGUGCCCGGGUGAAACCCGCUGGGGCAAAGCUGCGUCCCCGUUUGAAACUUGUACUGAGGUUAUUUCUGUCAGCGAGCAAUGGGAAGAGGGGAAUUAACCAAGCUGGAUGCAGCCCUUCUGCUGUGUCAGCAGCAGUGCCGAGGGAGCGCUGGGGUCCCGGUACCUGCAUCAGGGGUGGAGCUUGGCGUGGUGCUGGGGCUGGCCCUGAGCUGUUACCCACAGCCGUGGGGCAAACGGGUCGGGAAAAGCCUCUCCGUGCCUGCAGGUGAAGGGCAGCCAGGCCAUGAACAUCAUCAGUGCCAUCUUUGCGCUCCUGGGCAUCGUCGCCUUCAUCAUUGACCUCAACUUCAACGGGCUGUACCGAUCCAGCUAUGACGACGACAGCCACCUUGUCCUGCUCGCAGGGAACGGCAUCUCCAUCGUGCUGCUCAUCUUCACCAUCCUGGAGUUCUGCAUUGCUGUCGCCACUGCCAACUUCUGGUGCCGGGCAACACGCCUCAGCCCCAAUGAGGCCAUGCUGAUUGUGCCCAGCACCACCAGGGUGGACCUGGCCGUGGUGCAAGCAGAGCUGCCACAGCCGCCCAGCUACUCGGAGCUGGUAGCCCCUGAAGUAUAGCUGGGCAGAAAGGACGUCCCGGAAGCCACCUGCAGCCCCAGGGCAUCGGCACCUCCUCUUGCUGCGCUGCAGGCUGGGGCAUGCUUGUAGCCCCUGAACCUAGCCCCCUGCCCCCCCCCNNNNNNNNNNNNNNNNNNNNCCACACUUCCUGACCCCCAUCCCCCACCUCGCUCUCACCUCCUGCCUGCUCUGGGGAAGGGCUGGGGGUGGUCCUGCCCUGUUACCCCAGCCAGGUGCUGGGCGCUGCACAGCAGCCGGACUCAUUCCGUUGUCAGCUCAGCCCCUGCUGGCUUCAUUUUCUCUUGAAAAUAAAGUAAUAAAACGCUGUGGCCA